GGCUUAACACAUGCAAGUCGAGGGGCAGCAUGGUCUUAGCUUGCUAAGGCUGAUGGCGACCGGCGCACGGGUGAGUAACACGUAUCCAACCUGCCGUCUACUCUUGGCCAGCCUUCUGAAAGGAAGAUUAAUCCAGGAUGGCAUCAUGAGUUCACAUGUCCGCAUGAUUAAAGGUAUUUUCCGGUAGACGAUGGGGAUGCGUUCCAUUAGAUAGUAGGCGGGGUAACGGCCCACCUAGUCAACGAUGGAUAGGGGUUCUGAGAGGAAGGUCCCCCACAUUGGAACUGAGACACGGUCCAAACUCCUACGGGAGGCAGCAGUGAGGAAUAUUGGUCAAUGGGCGAUGGCCUGAACCAGCCAAGUAGCGUGAAGGAUGACGG
rnacentral:rRNA from 1 species